UGAGCCCACACCCCCGGUAAAAGGGUAGCAGUUGGUGCUUGCCUGCAAGCCGUUACUGUUCCAGCCUCCUAGCCCAACAGCCUUUUCCAUGAGCCUUGGAGAUGGAAGGCGAAGCGAUUGAAAAUACGGAUGGGGUGGAGGUUGUGGAGCAGGAGGUCAAGAGGCCAGCUUGUGUUCUUUGAUUGUUCAUAAUCUGGCCUUUAAAUAAAAAGGGCCAUCAUUUCAUUAAUGAAAAAAAAGACUUCAAAGAAAUGGUGGAUCCACCCCUCUCCACCUGAUUUUUCCCCCUUGGAAGAGGCAGCAAUAAAAAAUACCAGGAUGAAGUUUGGUUUUCUGUUCUGGAUCCAAGGCAAGAAGAUUGAGUAAUUUUGGUGACCCGAUUUUUCCACUUGGCUUUAAUACCAGGGCUCAUAUGAAUUGUCCUACACUGCUGGUUUCUUGUCUUGUUUGAAAAUUCUCUUAUUCAUAGGCUUGACUAUGAAGCAGUAAUUUAUUUCAACUGUGAAGAGGUGUCCUUUUGUUAAAAAUCCAAAGAUAUUUGAAGACAAUACAUGCUCUGAGGAUGAAACUAUAUGUCCAAAAGGCUGGAACCAAAUCCGUAAUAAUUGCUUCUUUCAAUCUGAAUAUGAAAAAACUUGGAUAGAUGGCCAAGCAAACUGCAUAGCCUAUCGUGGAUCUCUGGCCAUAUUCAACUCCAAGAAUGAAGUGGAAUCUUUGAUGCCUUACCUGGGACCUUCUUCAUAUUGGAUUGGACUAAAGAAGCUAAAUGCAAGCACACCCUGGAUGUGGGCAAAUGAAGAUGCAUUCAACAAUUGGUUCAAAAUUGAAGGAAAUGGAACGUGUGCCUUCAUGUUUAAGAAGGGCAUAAGCAGUACCAGCUGUGAUGAUGCAAUAAAAUAUAUAUGCAGCAGAGAAGCCCUUUGUCUUUAGAUAAAGGGUCCCCCAUAAUAAAAUAAUUAAAGAAAAAUGA